CAUGUGGUUUAAUUCGAUGCAACGCGAAGAACCUUACCUACUCUUGACAUCCAGAGAAUUCGCUAGAGAUAGCUUAGUGCCUUCGGGAACUCUGAGACAGGUGCUGCAUGGCUGUCGUCAGCUCGUGUUGUGAAAUGUUGGGUUAAGUCCCGCAACGAGCGCAACCCUUAUCCUUUGUUGCCAGCGAGUAAUGUCGGGAACUCAAAGGAGACUGCCGGUGAUAAACCGGAGGAAGGUGGGGAUGACG
rnacentral:rRNA from 1 species